UUGUGUUACGCCCGCCUCAACGGUUGUGAUUGGCCUCGAUUUGGAAAAAUUGGAAAUGGGCUUGAAUGGGCUCUUGGCCAGACAGACUUCCAAAGCAAAUCUCAAAUUUACCGGAAGUUUGUCAGGGUUUCCCCAGGCUACCCAAAAGGCAUAA